rnacentral:rRNA from 1 species
GAUGAACGCUGGCGGCGUGCCUAAUACAUGCAAGUCGAGCGAACAGACGGGGACAAUGCUCCUCUGACGUUGGCGGCGGACGGGUGAGUAAGACGUGGAUAACCUACCUAUAAUAGUGGGAUAACGUCGAAAAGCGGGAGAUAGUAGCGGAUGCUAUAUUGAGCCGCAGAGUUAGAUAGUAAAAGACGGUUUUGCGGUGACUAAUAGACGGAUCAGUGCCGCAUUAGCUAGUUGGUAAGGUAACGGCGUACCAAGGCAACGAUGCGUAGCUGACCUGAGAGUGUGAUCGGCCACACUGGAACUGAGACACGGUCCCGACUCCUACGGUAGGCAGCAGGAGGGAAUCUUCCGCAAUGGGCGAAAGCCUGACGGAGCAACGCCGCGUGAGUGAUGAAGGUCUUCGGAUCGUAAAACUCUGUUAUUAGGGAAGAACAAAUGUGUAAGUAACUAUGCACGUCUUGACGGUACCUAAUCAGAAAGCCACGGCUAACUACGUG